rnacentral:rRNA from 1 species
GAUUAGAUACCCUGGUAGUCACGCCGUAAACGAUGUCGACUUGGAGGUUGUUCCCUUGAGGAGUGGCUUCCGGAGCUAACGCGUUAAGUCGACCGCCUGGGGAGUACGGCCGCAAGGUUAAAACUCAAAUGAAUUGACGGGGGCCCGCACAAGCGGUGGAGCAUGUGGUUUAAUUCGAUGCAACGCGAAGAACCUUACCUACUCUUGACAUCCACGGAAUUCGGCAGAGAUGCCUUAGUGCCUUCGGGAACCGUGAGACAGGUGCUGCAUGGCUGUCGUCAGCUCGUGUUGUGAAAUGUUGGGUUAAGUCCCGCAACGAGCGCAACCCUUAUCCUUUGUUGCCAGCGAUUCGGUCGGGAACUCAAAGGAGACUGCCGGUGAUAAACCGGAGGAAGGUGGGGAUGACGUCAAGUCAUCAUGGCCCUUACGAGUAGGGCUACACACGUGCUACAAUGGCGCAUACAAAGAGAAGCGACCUCGCGAGAGCAAGCGGACCUCAUAAAGUGCGUCGUAGUCCGGAUCGGAGUCUGCAACUCGACUCCGUGAAGUCGGAAUCGCUAGUAAUCGUGGAUCAGAAUGCCACGGUGAAUACGUUCCCGGGCCUUGUACACACCGCCCGUCACACCAUGGGAGUGGGUUGCAAAAGAAGUAGGUAGCUUAACCUUCGGGAGGGCGCUUACCACUUUGUGAUUCAUGACUGGGGUGAAGUCGUAACAAGG